UGAGGAAUCUUGCGCAAUGGGGGCAACCCUGACGCAGCAACGCCGCGUGAGUGAGGAAGGUCUUCGGAUCGUAAAGCUCUGUCGGGUGGAAAGAAAUGUAUGGGGUUAACAGCCUGCAUACUUGACGGUACCACCAAAGGAAGCACCGGCUAACUCCGUGCCAGCAGCCGCGGUAAUACGGGGGGUGCAAGCGUUGUUCGGAAUUAUUGGGCGUAAAGAGCGUGUAGGCGGCUAGGCAAGUCAGAUGUGAAAGCCCUGGGCUUAACCCAGGAAGUGCAUUUGAAACUGCUUAGCUUGAGUAGGGGANAGGGAAGUGGAAUUCCUGGUGUAGAGGUGAAAUUCGUAGAUAUCAGGAGGAACACCGGUGGCGAAGGCGACUUCCUGGCCCUAUACUGACGC
rnacentral:rRNA from 1 species